AACGAACGCUGGCGGCGCGCCUAAUACAUGCAAGUCGAGCGAGAAGACGUAGCAAUACGUUUGUAAAGCGGCGAACGGGUGAGGAAUACAUGGGUAACCUACCCUCGAGUGGGGAAUAACUAGCCGAAAGGUUAGCUAAUACCGCGUACGCUCCUUGGACUUCGGUUCAGGGAGGAAAGCGAUACCGUGGGUAUCGCGCUCUUGGAUGGGCUCAUGUCCUAUCAGCUUGUUGGUGAGGUAACGGCUCACCAAGGCUUCGACGGGUAGCUGGUCUGAGAGGACGAUCAGCCACACUGGCACUGCGACACGGGCCAGACUCCUACGGGAGGCAGCAGUAAGGAGUAUUGCGCAAUGGGCGAAAGCCUGACGCAGCGACGCCGCGUGGGGGA
rnacentral:rRNA from 1 species